GCUUCCCAAAGCUUGAUUCCAAAUCCCAUGGUCUCCUCAGUUCAGGAGCCUGGAUGUACCAGGUGCAGUCCCCGCUGGGUAGCGCCUGGCCCCUCCUUUCCCAGAUGCGAGGUUUCCUGCAGGGAGAGCCCAACCAGGCUCCCUCCAGCCCCACGUUUUUGGCUUCUGGCCUGUCUCUGUGGCAUCCUUGCUUGAAAUCAGAGAGAGAAACGUGGGGUCUGGUAAUUGUAUUCCAUUAAGCCUAAUUAAGAUGCAAAUUUGCACAGUUAAUGAAGAAGGCAAUUUGGAAGCAAUUUCGCCAGUGACACAGGACUCUCAUCAGCGCGGCUGUUCUUGGUAGGUAGGUCUGAGGAGAUGGGAAUGUAUGCACUGCCACCCACCAGGCUGCAUCUGGCCAGUCUCCAGGGAGAAAUUCUUCCUUCUGGAGAAGGACAACCCACCCUAAAUAGAACGCAUUGUACGGAAACUGCUUGCAUCAUGUGAUCCCCUGUGUGUAGAUCAUCCAGCUCUGGACCCCUGGAGUCCCACCUGUAGGCUCUGCCCUGCCCUGGCCUCUUGAUAGGGGCAGGAGGGCCUGAAGCAGUUCUCUGGAAACAGACUGCCUGGGUUCAAAUCCCAGCUCCACCACUCACUAGCUGUAUGUCCUUGGGCAAGUUUUUUAACUUCUCUGGGCCUCAGUUUACUCCUCUCUGAACUGGGAUAACAACAUCAACUGAGAAAGGCUGCCAUGAGGCUGAAAUUGAAUUAUGCAUGGGAAGUACUCAGCAAGCGCAUGGCACAUGAAUGAUGUACAUUUUCAUGAGCUCUCCCAGCACCCCAUGUUUCGCAUGGGCAAGAGCUCUGUUCCCCAGCCCCCAGGUUCACAGGUUUUCUUUUUUUUUUUUUUUGAGACAGUCUCGUUCUGUUGCCCAGGCUGGAGUGCAGCGGCACUAUCUCGGCUCACUGUAACCUCCGCCUCCCAGAUUCAAGUGAUUCUUCUGCCUCAGCCUCUUGAGUAGCUGGGACUACAGGCAUGCGCCACCACACCCAGUUAAUUUUUGUAUUUUUAGUAGAGAUGGGGUUUCACCAUAUUGGCCAAGCUGGUCUUGAACUCCUGACCUCGUGAUCCGCCCGCCGCGGCCUCCCAAAGUGCUGAGAUUACAGGCGUGAGCCACCGCGCCUGGCCCACAGGUUUUCUUUUGCUGCUAUCAGAUGGCUGCCAUUUGGGGCUGGACCUUCCCCAGGCCCUGGAUGUCUGAGGUCUGUCUGGCUUGAAGCUGGGGCACACCCGGCAGCUGGGCUCUUGCAUGGAUUGCCACCUGGUGGUUGGCUGUUUUCACAUCUUUGUAUACCAAAGUUGGCCUGCUGGCCUGGACUUCCUCCCAGCACUUGACUCCACUUCACUGGCCCUCCACUUCAGUGGCCAGUGUUGUUUCUAAGUGAGUUACUUAACUGACGUCAUUGUUAUUAUAGCUAAGAUUUGUGGACUGUUCACUGUGCCAGGUGCUUUACCUAUAAUUAUGUAAUUUCAUCCUUACAG
rnacentral:lncRNA from 1 species